rnacentral:misc_RNA from 1 species
UUCAGGCGUGGUGCAGAAAGGGGGUCGGGGAUUGGCUCUUCAAAAAUUAGCAUGGCUGACUGUUUUAACGAAGAUGUGAAAAUCCCAAUAACACAGCAAGAGUGCAAAAUAGAGCGCGAGUAUUAUUUUUAGUGCAUGUUUUCAUAUUUUUAUUUGAUCGUGCAAAAUAUUAAGCAAGUACUACUUAAAAUAAUCAAAUUCACUGCACAAGUAAAAUAGGGAUUAUAAACCAGAGUCCAACAUGUGAACUUACUUCAGUAAAUUAAUAUGAAGAAAUGAAAAGUAUUUAUGCACAAGUGAAAAAACUGUAAAGUUAGUGAUCAUGUCGUUUUUUAAUAAUAUCAAAAAAGUGCUCCAUUUGGGAGGAAACGAUGCGAAAAAGAAAAAAGUGUUUAAUAAUGUGCGAAUGGAAUGCGACCCCAAGGAGUACUGGGACAUGAUUGGGGAGCUGGGGGAUGGGGCAUACGGUAAAGUGUACAAGGCACAACACAAGCAUACAGGGCAGCUUGCAGCUGCAAAAAUGUGUCGUCUUGAUGGAGAAGAGGAUAUGUCUGAUUUUAUGAUUGAAAUAGACAUUCUAUCUGAAUGCAAACAUCCAAAUGUAGUCGAAUUAAUUGAAGCAUUUCAGAUUGAACAGCAGUUAUGGAUGCUUAUAGAAUAUUGUGAUGGUGGUGCUGUUGAUAGUAUAAUGACUGAGUUAGAAAAACCGUUAAAUGAACCACAAAUUACUUAUGUGUGCCAAAAUAUAUGUAAAGGUCUGCAGUUUCUACACAAGUCUCAUAUCAUUCAUCGAGACCUUAAGGCUGGAAAUGUACUACUGACUAUGAAUGGUGGGGUCAAAUUAGCCGAUUUUGGGGUGUCUGCAAAAAAUAAGUCGACCUUCCAGAAACAUGACACCUUCAUAGGCACCCCGUAUUGGAUGGCCCCGGAAGUGGUACUCUGCGAGACGUUUCGAGACAAUCCGUACGAUUUCAAAGUUGAUAUAUGGUCUUUGGGUAUAACGCUUAUCGAGUUUGCUCAAAUGGAGCCGCCAAACCACGAGAUGUCGCCUAUGAGGGUACUUUUAAAAAUUCAAAAGUCUGACCCUCCCAAACUGGAACAGCCCUCUAAAUGGUCUAAAGAAUUUAACGACUUUGUUUCAAAGGCUCUAACGAAGGAUCCACAAAAAAGGCCUACCUGUGAAGACCUUUUAAGACACCCAUUCAUUAAUUGCACCAUCGACUCUAAGCCCAUUAGGGAUCUAUUGUUAGAAUACAAGGCUGAUAUCGUGGAGGAGGAAUUACUGACCGAUGACGAUCCAGAGGACAAUCGAGCUUCCCAAGUUCCUCUGGAUAUCGAAGAUGACACUACUUCUGUAAAAAGUAACGAAGUUGAUUCUUCUAAACCCGCGGACACAGGACAAGCUAAACGGGAAAUUGAAGCAGAAAAUAUCGACCCGAAAAAGCUCAAAAAGGAGAACUCUACCGAAUCAACUACUUCUGUUCAAAGCAGGUCUUCAGCAGAAGAAGAGAAACGAUCGGCUGAAAAACGAGAACUACAAAGAAAAACGUCAAGAGACAAGGGCCCCGCUCCGUUACCACCCCUUCCACCUCCUCAAACUUCCGUCGAAUUAAUCAGACAAAGUAGCACUGAAAAAGAGAAAGCACCAGAAGUUCCUCCCGUUCCCGUAGUUUCGAUCGCUCAAGUGCCUCCUCCUCCACCUCCACCACCUUUACCACCUGUGCCAUUGCCAAUUCUCCCUACGCCACCUUCGUCACCACUUACACCACCAAGUACACCUCCCUUACCACCACUUGUUCCUCCUGUUUUACCAUCUGCCAAAACUUUACAGGAUCAAUUGAAGAAAAUCCAAGAAAAGAAGACAAAACAACCAGAAGAAAACGAAAACAAAGAUGCUACCAACAAGAAAAUUUUGGAUGGACAUAUUGAGGCUGUUAUUACCAAUAAGAUUGUUCCUCAUAUUCCUGCAGACAAAAAAGAACUGGAAAUUGACAAUAAGAUUCGACGAAAGUCAGUUGGCGAUGAUUUGGAUAGGAAUAAAACUGAGGAAAUUGAACGAAACCGUAAAAAGUCUUUGGAAGAAGGUGUAUGGGAAAAGAGGGCUCUCAUUAGAGAAAUACCUGGUGAAUUGAAUCAAACUAGUGACAGUGUAACUAUCACAACACCGUCUAAUGCGAUAAAUGUAGACAACUCUGCAGGAAGUUUAGUUGUCGUCUCCACCCCAUCCGCUGACCGUGGGAAAGUUAACACGUCCACUGUAACAAUUAUUUCUGAUCUUCCAGAUCCGUCCAAUAGUCUUGCCUCAAAUAUAAGUCAAGUUACCGUGGUGACUACUCAUCCCCCUGUCAUAAUCGACAAUAUGCACAGCAUUUCUCGCUUACCUAGUUCAUCAUCAGCGACAACUGCAGGAAGUAACGAAGUCGUUAUAGUUUCAAACGAAAUGAACAAAACUCACGUAAACGAAUCGUCUUCUACCGAUGAUGAAUUCUCACCAUCUCUAGAUUCUCUGGAAUAUCUCCCCCCUCUUGCGUUUCGGGACACUCGUCAGAUAAUGACAAAUGCUAAAAAACUGGACGAUAGUGAAGUGCUAAUCGCCGAUUCAAGCUAUGUAAUUAAUGAUUCUGGUCUGGACGUUUCGGAAGAUGAUGCCAAUCAUCCGCUACUAGAUACCAGCCACGUAUCUGUUGUCAAAAUAGACGAAGAAAAAGUUCAGGUAAAGGACUCCGCAUCGGUUGUGUAUGAUAGAAUGCGCGGAUCUACAAGUGAUCUGUCUUCGGCUAGAAGUGGAAGCAGUAAAAGUGGUAGCGAGUCCGCCACAUCUAUAAUCCUCGAUGGUAAAGAGGGAAAAGUUAACGGACAAAUCGUUUAUUCUACAAGCCAGGAUGAUGUAUACAAAAAGAAUAAAAAGAACAAUGCACUUAAUGGAAAAAUGUAUCCCGACAGUUUCGAAUCAAUUCCUUGCGAUUCCAGGUCGCAUAGCGAUAGUGGGGGCUCGGUCAGAAGUAAUGAUUCUUCCAGUAGACGUCCUAUAUCUAGUACAAGCAAGAGCAUUGAACAGUCAGAUGCAGAAAGCAUUUCCUUGGCUAGUCACGACAGUAGAGGUAGUAGUGGGAAGGAACAUAGAAAUGAAAGAUUGUCGGAGUCCGGAGAACAGGAAGAUGAUGUGGUGCUCAGAAGAAAACCACAAACAACUCGCAGCAUCAAGGAUGAAAUGAUGGCGCUUAACAACUUGAAUAGAAAGACGCGAAAACGGACGCGACGUUUUGUGAUAGACGGCGUAGUCAUUACAACGACCACGAGUAAGGUGAUUUACGGUGACGAUGACAAUAAUACGAUUAGCGACCCACAUCAGUUCCGUAAAUUAGAACUGCGCGAAUUGAAGUACCUACAAAAACAGGAACAAAAACAGUUCCAAGACUUGUAUUUGAAAGAAAAUCUUGCGACGGAACAGCAGGAGAAGCGAUUUGAGCAAGAACGCGUAGCUCUGGAGAAGACGUUUGAAAGUGACUUAGAAAUGCUCAGUCGACAGCAAAGAAUGCUUAUAGAAAGAGCAGAAGCUCAAUUGGACACAGAUCUUCGAGCUUUAUCGAAAAAAAUUCGAGCUGACCAAGAAAGAGAACUUAAACAAUUUCGUGAAGGUCUUAAACAAGAAUUGCGAUUGCUCAAGGCCGAAAUCGACCGACUUCCCAAAGAGCAACGUAAACAAGAGUACAAAACUCGCAAGGAAAAAUUAGACGCAGAACAUCUAGAACGUGAGCGCGCCUUUUUAGAAAAACUAAAUGAAAACCACGAAAGUUCAUUGAAGAGAAUGAGCGAUUCCCAUCGAGAAAAGAUUGCCUUAAUGGAACGACAGUACCUUCAACAAAAGCAGCAACUAACCAGAACAAGAGAGGCGGCUCUGUGGGAAAUCGAGGAGAAGCAAAUCCAUGAGAAACACCAGCUUAUAAAAAGACAGCUCAAGGACAUCUUCUUCCUUCAACGACAUCAAAUGCUUAACCGCCACGACAAGGAAAUGGAACAAGUUAAAAGAAAGUCGGCCAAAAAGGAAGAAGACUUGCUUAAGAAGCAAGCAAUUGAAAGAAGGGCGUUACCGAAAAGAAUACGUGCCGAAAUGAAAGCACGGGAGAUGAUGUUUAGAGAGUCGAUGCGUAUUUCCGUUUCUGGAGGCGUGGCAGAUCCUGAAGUAGAUAAGAACCGAUUUAAAGAAUUCCAAGAAAACGAAAAGAUACGUUACCAAGCAGAACAACAUCGGUUUGAACUUAAACAUCAACGACAGUUAGAAGAACUUCGAGCCAUGAACGAAGCAACAAUUAAAGAAUUGGAACAGUUGCAGAAUGAAAAACGCAAAAUGCUCACAGAACAUGAAACCAUGAAAUUGAAGCAGCGCGAAGAAACAUAUGCACAAGAACUGCAAGAAUGGAAAGCUCAAUUGAAACCCAGAAAACAGAAAUUAGAGGAGGAAAUGUAUACAGAACUAGUGUCUGCAGCAUGUACUAAAUAUUUAAUGCAAGUGGUGCCUUGGGCUGGCAGUACCUCGACAGACGACGCUCGAAGUGUCAUCAGCGAUUACAGUUAUAUCUCGCCUUUGUCUUCGAUUCGUGGAAAUCGGCCUGUUACUGUGGAUGGCCAAUUGCAUUCUAAACGUCCUGGUAUUACCACGAGGUCUCGUAGCUCCGAAAAUCUCGCAAAUAGGAAAAGUAUUUCGCUAAAACGAGCCGUGGAGACUAAUCCGGAUUCUAACGUCUAAAUCAAUGUUGCUCAAAGUUGUUUUUUUCUGUUGCCUUUUAGGUUGCUUUCAUUUUAUCCUUUGUAUUCGUUUUCUUCGUGGUUAGGUUGUCCUUUACAUGUUCUUCAUAGUUGAUUCUAUGUUUUGAACAUUAACAAAUUGAAUUUUUAUGACGUAUAAAAGUGUCUUGGCAGUGUCUUGUAAUUGUCUUUGUAUUUUGUUGCAUUUCUCCAUGUUGUAAGCAAAGGCGUACUUUAGUGUGAACCCCAUUAAUUUUGUGUGAAUAUUGUACGUAUAUAUGUUCUUAAAUUCGUCGUUAAGAAUUUCCGAUUAGUCUUGUUCCACUCUUCUUCAAACUGAACAGAAAUUGGAAGAAGCAUUCCUACAACAACUGGAGGAACAAGUGAGAAUUUACGGGCCAAUAGGCUGCACAUUGCCCGCAGAUCUUCCUGAACUUAGUCACGAUCCUCGGAUCGGACUCGGGUCCACACGUAGUAGCUUAUCUUCCAUGUCGGAAGGUUAAAAGAGAAGGCUAAUCUAACAUUUUCAAGAGGCCUCCGUCCAUUGUUAUUUCGUUUUUUUUUUGUCGUCAGACGCCCAAAAGCGCAUUCAGAUAUUAUAUUAGCAGUUCGAAUCAAGGGAUCUGAAGUUUAGGUCAAAAAUCAAUACACCGGUCCGGACUUUAAAUAAUUGCAUUGUAAAUACAUAAAAUGUUAUACAUAGACUGAGUAAAUAGUUACGAGAUUUUUGAGAUAGAGAUUAAGUUACGUAGAGUUGUAAAUCGUAUUACACUA